UGAGUACGAGAUGCUACGGCAUCGAAGCAGUCUAUGUCAUACUUCCAAGAAAAGCUUGCAAUGUCAUAAACAAAUAAUGCCUGUACCAUAACCGACACAGGUGGGUAGGUAGAGUAUACUAAGGGGCGCGAGAUAACUCUCUCUAAGGAACUCGGCAAAAUGACUCCGUAACUUCGGGAGAAGGAGUGCCUUAUUUUUAUAAGGUUGCAAUAACAAGAUCCAAGCAACUGUUUACCAAAAACACAGGUCUCCGCUAAGUCGUAAGACGAUGUAUGGGGGCUGACGCCUGCCCAGUGCCAGAAGGUUAAAGAAGUUGGUUAGCAUUAGCGAAGCUGAUAACUGAAGCCCUGGUGAACGGCGGCCGUAACGAUAACGGUCCUAAGGUAGCGAAAUUCCUUGUCGGGUAAGUUCCGACCCGCACGAAAGGCGUAAUGAUUUGGAUACUGUCUCGGAGAGGGGCUCGGUGAAAUAGACUUGUCUGUGAAGAUGCGGACUACCUGCACCUGGACAGAAAGACCCUAUGAAGCUUUACUGUAACUUGAGAUUGAAAUUGGACUUUAUCUGCGCAGUAUAGGUGGGAGACGUUGAAAAUAUUCUUGCGGGAAUAUUGGAGUCAUCAGUGAGAUACCACUCUUAUAAUGUUAGAUUUCUAACUUUGUAUCAUUAUCUGGUCAAAGAACAGUUUCAGGCGGGCAGUUUGACUGGGGCGGUCGCCUCCCAAACGGUAACGGAGGCGCACAAAGGUUUCCUCUGAACGUGUAGAAAUCGUAUCUAGAGUGUAAAGGCAUAAGGAAGCUUGACUGUGAGACCUACAAGUCGAGCAGGGACGAAAGUCGGUCUUAGUGAUCUGACGGUGCUGAGUGGAAAGGCCGUCACUCAACGGAUAAAAGUUACUCUAAGGAUAACAGGCUGAUCUCCCCCAAGAGUUCACAUCGACGGGGAGGUUUGGCACCUCGAUGUCGGCUCAUCGCAUCCUGGGGCGGUAGUACGUCCCAAGGUUUGGGCUGUUCGCCCAUGAAAGCGGUACGCGAGCUGGGUUCAGAACGUCGUGAGACAGUUCGGUCCAUAUCCGGUGUAGGCGUUAGAAUAUUGAGAGGAGCCUUCUUUAGUACGAGAGGACCGAGAAGGACAUACCUCUGGUGUACCAGUUAUCGUGCCAACGGUAAACGCUGGGUAGCCAUGUAUGGAGAGGAUAACCGCUGAAAGCAUCUAAGUGGGAAGCCCACCUCAAGAUAAGUA
rnacentral:rRNA from 1 species